GACGUAGGGCGCGAGCGUUGUCCGGAUUUACUGGGCGUAAAGGGCGCGUAGGCGGUCAGCACAAGUCAGUUGUGAAAUCUCCGGGCUUAACUCGGAAAGGUCAACUGAUACUGUGCGACUAGAGUGCAGAAGGGGCAACUGGAAUUCCUGGUGUAGCGGUGAAAUGCGUAGAUAUCGUAAGGAAGACCAGUGGCGAAGGCGGAUCUCUGGGCCUGUUCUGACGCUGAGGCGCGAAAGCUAGGGGGAGCGAACAGG
rnacentral:rRNA from 1 species